AGAGUUUGAUCCUGGCUCAGGAUGAACGCUAGCUACAGGCUUAACACAUGCAAGUCGAGGGGAAACGAUAUUGGAAGCUUGCUUCCGAUAGGCGUCGACCGGCGCACGGGUGAGUAACGCGUAUCCAACCUGCCCACCACUUGGGGAUAACCUUGCGAAAGUAAGACUAAUACCCAAUGACGUCUCUAGAAGACAUCUGAAGGAGAUUAAAGAUUUAUCGGUGAUGGAUGGGGAUGCGUCUGAUUAGCUUGUUGGCGGGGUAACGGCCCACCAAGGCAACGAUCAGUAGGGGUUCUGAGAGGAAGGUCCCCCACAUUGGAACUGAGACACGGUCCAGACUCCUACGGGAGGCAGCAGUGGGGAAUCUUCCGCAAUGGGCGCAAGCCUGACGGAGCAACGCCGCGUGAGUGAAGAAGGGUUUCGACUCGUAAAGCUCUGUUGUCGGGGACGAACGUGGAGACGGCAAAUAGUCGUUUCCAAUGACGGUACCUGACGAGGAAGCCACGGCUAACUACGUGCCAGCAGCCGCGGUAAUACGUAGGUGGCGAGCGUUGUCCGGAAUUAUUGGGCGUAAAGGGAGCGCAGGCGGGAAGGUAAGUCUAUCUUAAAAGUGCGGGGCUCAACCCCGUGAGGGGAUGGAAACUAUCUUUCUUGAGUGCAGGAGAGGAAAGCGGAAUUCCUAGUGUAGCGGUGAAAUGCGUAGAUAUUAGGAGGAACACCAGUGGCGAAGGCGGCUUUCUGGACUGUAACUGACGCUGAGGCUCGAAAGCGUGGGGAGCGAACAGGAUUAGAUACCCUGGUAGUCCACGCCGUAAACGAUGAAUGCUAGGUGUAGGAGGUAUCGACCCCUUCUGUGCCGGAGUUAACGCAAUAAGCAUUCCGCCUGGGGAGUACGGCCGCAAGGCUGAAACUCAAAGGAAUUGACGGGGGCCCGCACAAGCGGUGGAGUAUGUGGUUUAAUUCGACGCAACGCGAAGAACCUUACCAGGGCUUGACAUUGAGUGAAAGGACAAGGGAUUGUCCCCUCUCUUCGGAGACACGAAAACAGGUGGUGCAUGGCUGUCGUCAGCUCGUGUCGUGAGAUGUUGGGUUAAGUCCCGCAACGAGCGCAACCCUUAUCCUUUGUUGCCAGCACGUUAUGGUGGGAACUCAAAGGAGACUGCCGCGGACAACGCGGAGGAAGGCGGGGAUGACGUCAAGUCAUCAUGCCCCUUAUGUCCUGGGCUACACACGUACUACAAUGGGAUGGACAGAGAGCAGCGAAGCCGCGAGGCCAAGCGAACCCCAUAAACCAUCUCCCAGUUCGGAUUGCAGGCUGCGACCCGCCUGCAUGAAGUUGGAAUCGCUAGUAAUCGCAGGUCAGCAUACUGCGGUGAAUACGUUCCCGGGCCUUGUACACACCGCCCGUCACACCACGGAAGUCAUUCACACCCGAAGCCGGCAGGCUAACCUUUUGGAGGCAGCCGUCUAAGGUGGGGGCGAUGACUGGGGUGAAGUCGUAACAAGGUA
rnacentral:rRNA from 1 species